rnacentral:rRNA from 1 species
UACAGAGGGCGCGAGCGUUGUCCGGAAUCACUGGGCGUAAAGCGCACGUAGGCGGCUUACUAAGUCAGGGGUGAAAUCCUGGAGCUCAACUCCAGAACUGCCUUUGAUACUGGUGAGCUUGAGUCCGGAAGAGGUGAGUGGAACUGCGAGUGUAGAGGUGAAAUUCGUAGAUAUUCGCAAGAACACCAGUGGCGAAGGCGGCUCACUGGUCCGGUACUGACGCUGAGGUGCGAAAGCGUGGGGAGCAAACAGG